rnacentral:rRNA from 1 species
GACGAACGCUGGCGGCGUGCUUAACACAUGCAAGUCGAGCGGUAAGGCCCUUUCGGGGGUACACGAGCGGCGAACGGGUGAGUAACACGUGGGUGACCUGCCCUCAGCUCUGGGAUAAGCCUGGGAAACUGGGUCUAAUACCGGAUAUGACUCCAUGACGCAUGUUGUGGGGUGGAAAGCCUUGUGCGGCUGAGGAUGGGCCCGCGGCCUAUCAGCUUGUUGGUGGGGUGANGGCCUACCAAGGCGACGACGGGUAGCCGGCCUGAGAGGGCGACCGGCCACACUGGGACUGAGACACGGCCCAGACUCCUACGGGAGGCAGCAGUGGGGAAUCUUGCGCGAUGGGCGAAAGCCUGACGCAGCGACGCCGCGUGAGGGAUGACGGCCU